CCAGAGAGGGCACAUGUGCCUCAAUUGGCCUAUAGCAUAGUGGCUCAUUAUCCUUCCACCGCUGGUGGCGGGCGGUACUCGCUGCUCUGUGAAGCCAGCCUCACGCAAUGUCCGCCACUUUAGGUGUUGGGAUGCAAAGGCUUUCGCCAAGGCAUCCGAAACCCACUACACAACUUGGAAUGGGUGGUCCACAGUUUGUAGCAAUAGACCCAGGCACAUGCACCACAAUUGACAUUCACACUACCUUAUUGCCCCCGCUCGGGUUACAAGCAAUCGCUACUUGCUCAGCGAGUGAGGGGGUUCAAGACUACCUAUUUAAGGUGGUGUUGUACUGUAUGAGCCGGCGGUGUGGUAUUUACCAACUACAAAUAGUGUCAUGCAUGUGACUUGCUAGUUGACAAUGUCUAUUGUCGAGCUAGAUGUGGGCUAUAGAUGAAGCACAUUAGGAUAUAGUAGGCCUAUUUUGUUUUUUGUUGUUUUUGGGCCACUAUGGACUUUAUGUUGAUGUUGUGAAAUUUUUUCUUGUGUUUCCUCUUCCUACGAUGUGGAAAGUGGGUGCUUCAGAGAAGAAAGAAAGAGUGGCUAGCAUUGAUUUUACGUCAUACCAUUGAGAACACUAAUCAGAAGCAGAAGCAACAAUAUUUCAUACAUAUACAACACUUGUAAUCCAUAUAAACAACUUUCCUUUCAAAUAUAAUAUAAACCACAUGAUUUAUAUCCUGGGUCGGCUAUCUCCACAAAGGGCAAGAAAACGCUCCAAGUUUGUAGUAUAGCACUAAAAGUGUCGACUCUCACGAUUUCUUCCCGACAUAUGCAAACUAGACAGUAAUCACAUAAAAUAAAGAAAUAUGUGUUAACACAAACUUAUAGCAUGUAUUUCAACAUAUAGAUUUUUGAUUAUUAUGGUAGAUUAUAUAAUAUAGGGGUUCCCGAAAAAAUACAUAAAAAACAAGAGCAUUAAAAUUUCCUUUUCAGAUCUGGCUAACUGGUAAAGGGAGUUGGAGUAUCUGAGUUUCCAAAUUUGGGACGUCGCUCUAUAGAAGGAAUAUAAAUACAUUGGAAAAAAUUCUACAAGGAAAGGUUUAAUACAAGUAGCGCUAAGAAAAACUCAAUGAGGCUUUGGUCGCUUGGUCACAAAACUUGAGACAAGAAACACGAAGACACCAAGGUAAUUAGUAUGAGAGUUUUCCAAAUUUGGUGUCUUGAUGUAGAAAAAAUAAAUAUAUGACAAACUUGUUUUUUCGCAAGGCAUGGAUAAAUAAGUGGGGGUGAGCAAUAAAUUUCAUCCUAGAUUUAGAAGGAAUAAAUAUAUCACUAAAUACGUUUUUUCACAAUGCCAAGUUAAUCAGGUGGGAGCGAGAAACAAUUCUAGCGAGGCUAGGUUGUACUAGCCCAAAACUACAUACAACAGAGGAAAAAUAAAGAAAAUGAUGGUCUACCAAAUAGGGCGCAUGAGCCUUAAGGUGCACCUAGAGGGAAGUAGAAGAAAUAAAUAUAUAAUAGCAUAUGUUUUUCGCAAUGCAAGGUAAAGUGUAGAUGUGCUCUAACUGGGCUUAGAUUGCAGCGACACAUUAUGCAUCUACAAGGCUUGGUUGCACAUGGAAAAAGAUAGAGAGAGAAAUGUAGACGCAGGACCGGGAGAAAAACAUUCAAUGAGACGUGAUUGCACGGACAUAGAACUAGAUAUAAGACAAGAGUUAAAGAAAAAUAAAGGAACUAAAUUUUCUUCUGCACACUAAGCAUGAAUGGAGUUGUAGUAUCUGAGAUCAAAAUUUAAUUUAUUCCAAGAUGCAGAACAAAAACGUGAUACUCGUAAUGGUUACAUAGGAACAAAAGUAGAUAAGAAAAAUAGCAAAAAGAUAGUGGUCUACCAGAGAGGGCACAUGUGCCUCAAUUGGCCUAUAGCAUAGCGACUCAUUAUCCUUCCACCGCUGGUGGCGGGCGGUACUCGCUGCUCUGUGAAGCCAGCCUCACGCAAUGUCCGCCACUUUAGGUGUUGGGAUGCAAAGGCUUUCGCCAAGGCAUCCGAAACCCACUACACAACUUGGAAUGGGUGGUCCACAGUUUGUAGCACUAGACCCAGGCACAUGCACCACAAUUGACAUCCACACUACCUUAUUGCCCCCGCUCGGGUUACAAGCAAUCGCUACUUGCUCAGCGAGUGAGGGGGUUCAAGACUACCUAUUUAAGGUGGUGUUGUACUCUAUGAGCCGGCGGUGUGGUAUUUACCAACUACAAAUAGUGUCAUGCAUGUGACUUGCUAGUUGACAAUGUCUGUUGUCAAGCUAGGUGUGGGCUAUGGAUGAAGCACAUUAGGAUAUAGUAGGCCUAUUUUGUUUUUUGUUGUUUUUGGGCCACUAUGGACUGUAUGUUGAUGUUGUGAAAUUUUUUUCUUGUGUUUCCUCUUCCUACGAUGUGGAAAGUGGGUGCGUCAGAGAAGAAAGAAAGAGUGGCUAGCAUUGAUUUUACGUCAUACCAUUGAGAACACUAAUCAGAAGCAGAAGCAACAAUAUUUCAUACAUAUACAACACUUGUAAUCCAUAUAAACAACAUUCCUUUAAAAUAUAAUAUAAACCACAUGAUUUAUAUCCUGGGUCGGCUAUCUCCACAAAGGGCAAGAAAACGCUCCAAGUUUGUAGUAUAGCACUAAAAGUGUCGAUUCUCACGAUUUCUUCCCGACAUAUACAAACUAGACAGUAAUCACAUAAAAUAAAGAAAUAUGUGUUAACACGAACUUAUAACAUGUAUUUCAACAUAUAGAUUGUUGAUUAUUAUGGUAGAUUAUAUAAAAUAGGGGUUCCCGAAGAAAUACAUAAAAACAAGAGCAUUAAAAUUUCCUUUUCAGAUCUGGCUAUCUGGUAAAAGGAGUUGGAGUAACUGAGUUUCCAAAUUUGUGACGUAGCUCUAUAGAAGGAAUAUAAAUACGUUGGAAAAAUUCUAUAAGGAAAGGUUUAAUACAAGUAGGGCUAAGAAAAACUCAAUGAGGCUUUGGUCGCAUGGUCACAAAACUUGAGACAAGAAACACGAAGACACCAAGGUAAUUAGUAUGAGAGUUUUCCAAAUUUGGUGUCUUGAUGUAGAAAAAAUAAAUAUAUGACAAACUUGUUUUUUCGCAAGGCAUGGAUAAAUAAGUGGGGGUGAGCAAUAAAUUUCAUCCUAGAUUUAGAAGGAAUAAAUAUAUCACUAAAUAUGUUUUUUCACAAUGCCAAGUUAAUCAGGUGGGAGCGAGAAACAAUUCUAGCGAGGCUAGGUUGUACUAGCCCAAAACUACAUACAACAGAGGAAAAAUGAAGAAAAUGAUGGUCUACCAAAUAUGGCGCAUGAGCCUUAAGGUGCACCUAGAGGGAAGUAGAAGAAAUAAAUAUAUAAUAGCAUAUGUUUUUCGCAAUGCAAGGUAAAGUGUAGAUGUGCUCUAACUGGGCUUAGAUUGCAGCGACACAUUAUGCAUCUACAAGGCUUGGUUGCACAUGGAAAAAGAUAGAGAGAGAAAUGUAGACGCAGGACCGGGAGAAAAACAUUCAACGAGACGUGAUUGCACGGACAUAGAACUAGAUAUAAGACAAGAGUUAAAGAAAAAUAAAGGAACUAAAUUUUCUUCUGCACACUAAGCAUGAAUGGAGUUGUAGUAUCUGAGAUCAAAAUUUAAUUUAUUCCAAGAUGCAGAACAAAAACGUGAUACUCGUAAUGGUUACAUAGGAACAUAAGUAGAUAAGAAAAAUAGCAAAAAGAUAGUGGUCUACCAGAGAGGGCACAUGUGCCUCAAUUGGCCUAUAGCAUAGCGACUCAUUAUCCUUCCACCGCUGGUGGCGGGCGGUACUCGCUGCUCUGUGAAGCCAGCCUCACGCAAUGUCUGCCACUUUAGGUGUUGGGAUGCAAAGGCUUUCGCCAAGGCAUCCGAAACCCACUACACAACUUGGAAUGGGUGGUCCACAGUUGGUAGCACUAGACCCAGGCACAUGCACCACAAUUGACAUCCACACUACCUUAUUGCCCCCGCUCGGGUUACAAGCAAUCGCUACUUGCUCAGCGAGUGAGGGGGUUCAAGACUACCUAUUUAAGGUGGUGUUGUACUCUAUGAGCCGGUGGUGUGGUAUUUACCAACUACAAAUAGUGUCAUGCAUGUGACUUGCUAGUUGACAAUGUCUGUUGUCAAGCUAGGUGUGGGCUAUGGAUGAAGCACAUUAGGAUAUAGUAGGCCUAUUUUGUUUUUUGUUGUUUUUGGGCCACUAUGGACUUUAUGUUGAUGUUGUGAAUUUUUUUUCUUGUGUUUCCUCUUCCUACAAUGUGGAAAGUGGGUGCGUCAGAGAAGAAAGAAAGAGUGGCUAGCAUUGAUUUUACGUCAUACCAUUGAGAACACUAAUCAGAAGCAGAAGCAACAAUAUUUCAUACAUAUACAACACUUGUAAUCCAUAUAAACAACAUUCCUUUAAAAUAUAAUAUAAACCACAUGAUUUAUAUCCUGGGUCGGCUAUCUCCACAAAGGGCAAGAAAACGCUCCAAGUUUGUAGUAUAGCACUAAAAGUGUCGAUUCUCACGAUUUCUUCCCGACAUAUACAAACUAGACAGUAAUCACAUAAAAUAAAGAAAUAUGUGUUAACACGAACUUAUAGCAUGUAUUUCAACAUAUAGAUUGUUGAUUAUUAUGGUAGAUUAUAUAAAAUAGGGGUUCCCGAAGAAAUACAUAAAAACAAGAGCAUUAAAAUUUCCUUUUCAGAUCUGGCUAUCUGGUAAAAGGAGUUGGAGUAACUGAGUUUCCAAAUUUGUGACGUAGCUCUAUAGAAGGAAUAUAAAUACGUUGGAAAAAUUCUAUAAGGAAAGGUUUAAUACAAGUAGGGCUAAGAAAAACUCAAUGAGGCUUUGGUCGCAUGGUCACAAAACUUGAGACAAGAAACACGAAGACACCAAGGUAAUUAGUAUGAGAGUUUUCCAAAUUUGGUGUCUUGAUGUAGAAAAAAUAAAUAUAUGACAAACUUGUUUUUCGCAAGGCAUGGAUAAAUAAGUGGGGGUGAGCAAUAAAUUUCAUCCUAGAUUUAGAAGGAAUAAAUAUAUCACUUAAUAUGUUUUUUCACAAUGCCAAGUUAAUCAGGUGGGAGCGAGAAACAAUUCUAGCGAGGCUAGGUUGUACUAGCCCAAAACUACAUACAACAGAGGAAAAAUGAAGAAAAUGAUGGUCUACCAAAUAUGGUGCAUGAGCCUUAAGGUGCACCUAGAGGGAAGUAGAAGAAAUAAAUAUAUAAUAGCAUAUGUUUUUCGCAAUGCAAGGUAAAGUGUAGAUGUGCUCUAACUGGGCUUAGAUUGCAGCGACACAUUAUGCAUCUACAAGGCUUGGUUGCACAUGGAAAAAGAUAGAGAGAGAAAUGUAGACGCAAGACCGGGAGAAAAACAUUCAAUGAGACGUGAUUGCACGGACAUAGAACUAGAUAAAAGACAAGAGUUAAAGAAAAAUAAAGGAACUAAAUUUUCUUCUGCACACUAAGCAUGAAUGGAGUUGUAGUAUCUGAGAUCAAAAUUUAAUUUAUUCCAAGAUGCAGAACAAAAACGUGAUACUCGUAAUGGUUACAUAGGAACAUAAGUAGAUAAGAAAAAUAGCAAAAAGAUAGUGGUCUACCAGAGAGGGCACAUGUGCCUCAAUUGGCCUAUAGCAUAGCGACUCAUUAUCCUUCCACCGCUGGUGGCGGGCGGUACUCGCUGCUCUGUGAAGCCAGCCUCACGCAAUGUCCGCCACUUUAGGUGUUGGGAUGCAAAGGCUUUUGCCAAGGCAUCCGAAACCCACUACACAACUUGGAAUGGGUGGUCCACAGUUUGUAGCACUAGACCCAGGCACAUGCACCACAAUUGACAUCCACACUACCUUAUUGCCCCCGCUCGGGUUACAAGCAAUCGCUACUUGCUCAACGAGUGAGGGGGUUCAAGACUACCUAUUUAAGGUGGUGUUGUACUCUAUGAGCCGGCGGUGUGGUAUUUACCAACUACAAAUAGUGUCAUGCAUGUGACUUGCUAGUUGACAAUGUCUGUUGUCAAGCUAGGUGUGGGCUAUGGAUGAAGCACAUUAGGAUAUAGUAGGCCUAUUUUGUUUUUUGUUGUUUUUGGGCCACUAUGGACUUUAUGUUGAUGUUGUGAAUUUUUUUUCUUGUGUUUCCUCUUCCUACGAUGUGGAAAGUGGGUGCGUCAGAGAAGAAAGAAAGAGUGGCUAGCAUUGAUUUUACGUCAUACCAUUGAGAACACUAAUCAGAAGCAGAAGCAACAAUAUUUCAUACAUAUACAACACUUGUAAUCCAUAUAAACAACAUUCCUUUAAAAUAUAAUAUAAACCACAUGAUUUAUAUCCUGGGUCAGCUAUCUCCACAAAGGGCAAGAAAACGCUCCAAGUUUGUAGUAUAGCACUAAAAGUGUCGAUUCUCACGAUUUCUUCCCGACAUAUACAAACUAGACAGUAAUCACAUAAAAUAAAGAAAUAUGUGUUAACACGAACUUAUAGCAUGUAUUUCAACAUAUAGAUUGUUGAUUAUUAUGGUAGAUUAUAUAAAAUAGGGGUUCCCGAAGAAAUACAUAAAAACAAGAGCAUUAAAAUUUCCUUUUCAGAUCUGGCUAACUGGUAAAGGGAGUUGGAGUAUCUGAGUUUCCAAAUUUGGGACGUCGCUCUAUAGAAGGAAUAUAAAUACAUUGGAAAAAAUUCUACAAGGAAAGGUUUAAUACAAGUAGCGCUAAGAAAAACUCAAUGAGGCUUUGGUCGCUUGGUCACAAAACUUGAGACAAGAAACACGAAGACACCAAGGUAAUUAGUAUGAGAGUUUUCCAAAUUUGGUGUCUUGAUGUAGAAAAAAUAAAUAUAUGACAAACUUGUUUUUUCGUAAGGCAUGGAUAAAUAAGUGGGGGUGAGCAAUAAAUUUCAUCCUAGAUUUAGAAGGAAUAAAUAUAUCACUAAAUAGGUUUUUUCACAAUGCCAAGUUAAUCAGGUGGGAGCGAGAAACAAUUCUAGCGAGGCUAGGUUGUACUAGCCCAAAACUACAUACAACAGAGGAAAAAUGAAGAAAAUGAUGGUCUACCAAAUAUGGCGCAUGAGCCUUAAGGUGCACCUAGAGGGAAGUAGAAGAAAUAAAUAUAUAAUGGCAUAUGUUUAUCGCAAUGCAAGGUAAAGUGUAGAUGUGCUCUAACUGGGCUUAGAUUGCAGCGACACAUUAUGCAUCUACAAGGCUUGGUUGCACAUGGAAAAAGAUAGAGAGAGAAAUGUAGAUGCAGGACCGGGUGAAAAACAUUCAAUGAGACGUGAUUGCACGGACAUAGAACUAGAUAUAAGACAAGAGUUAAAGAAAAAUAAAGGAACUAAAUUUUCUUCUGCACACUAAGCAUGAAUGGAGUUGUAGUAUCUGAGAUCAAAAUUUAAUUUAUUCCAAGAUGCAGAACAAAAAUGUGAUACUCGUAAUGGUUACAUAGGAGCAAAAGUAGAUAAGAAAAAUAGCAAAAAGAUAGUGGUCUACCAGAGAGGGCACAUGUGCCUCAAUUGUCUUAUAGCAUAGCGACUCAUUAUCCUUCCACCGCUGGUGGCGGGCGGUACUCGCUGCUCUGUGAAGCCAGCCUCACGCAAUGUCCGCCACUUUAGGUGUUGGGAUGCAAAGACUUUCGCCAAGGCAUCCGAAACCCACUACACAACUUGGAAUGGGUGGUCCACUGUUUGUAGCACUAGACCCAGGCACAUGCACCACAAUUGACAUCCACACUACCUUAUUGCCCCGCUCGGGUUACAAGCAAUCGCUACUUGCUCAGCGAGUGAGGGGGUUCAAGACUACCUAUUUAAGGUGGUGUUGUACUCUAUGAGCCGGCGGUGUGGUAUUUACCAACUACAAAUAGUGUCAUGCAUGUGACUUGCUAGUUGACAAUGUCUGUUGUCAAGCUAGGUGUGGGCUAUGGAUGAAGCACAUUAGGAUAUAGUAGGCCUAUUUUGUUUUUUGUUGUUUUUGGGCCACUAUGGACUUUAUGUUGAUGUUGUGAAAUUUUUUUCUUGUGUUUCCUCUUCCUACGAUGUGGAAAGUGGGUGCGUCAGAGAAGAAAGAAAGAGUGGCUAGCAUUGAUUUUACGUCAUACCAUUGAGAACACUAAUCAGAAGCAGAAGCAACAAUAUUUCAUACAUAUACAACACUUGUAAUCCAUAUAAACAACAUUCCUUUAAAAUAUAAUAUAAACCACAUGAUUUAUAUCCUGGGUCGGCUAUCUCCACAAAGGGCAAGAAAACGCUCCAAGUUUGUAGUAUAGCACUAAAAGUGUCGAUUCUCACGAUUUCUUCCCGACAUAUACAAACUAGACAGUAAUCACAUAAAAUAAAGAAAUAUGUGUUAACACGAACUUAUAGCAUGUAUUUCAACAUAUAGAUUUUUGAUUAUUAUGGUAGAUUAUAUAAAAUAGGGGUUCCCGAAGAAAUACAUAAAAACAAGAGCAUUAAAAUUUCCUUUUCAGAUCUGGCUAUCUGGUAAAAGGAGUUGGAGUAACUGAGUUUCCAAAUUUGUGACGUAGCUCUAUAGAAGGAAUAUAAAUACGUUGGAAAAAUUCUAUAAGGAAAGGUUUAAUACAAGUAGGGCUAAGAAAAACUCAAUGAGGCUUUGGUCGCAUGGUCACAAAACUUGAGACAAGAAACACGAAGACACCAAGGUAAUUAGUAUGAGAGUUUUCCAAAUUUGGUGUCUUGAUGUAGAAAAAAUAAAUAUAUGACAAAUUUGUUUUUUCGCAAGGCAUGGAUAAAUAAGUGGGGGUGAGCAAUAAAUUUCAUCCUAGAUUUAGAAGGAAUAAAUAUAUCACUAAAUACAUUUUUUCACAAUGCCAAAUUAAUCAGGUGGGAGCGAGAAACAAUUGUAGCGAGGCUAGGUUGUACUAGCCCAAAACUACAUACAACAGAGGAAAAAUGAAGAAAAUGAUGGUCUACCAAAUAUGGCGCAUGAGCCUUAAGGUGCACCUAGAGGGAAGUAGAAGAAAUAAAUAUAUAAUAGCAUAUGUUUUUCGCAAUGCAUGGUAAAGUGUAGAUGUGCUCUAACUGGGCUUAGAUUGCAGCGACACAUUAUGCAUCUACAAGGCUUGGUUGCACAUGGAAAAAGAUACAAAAAGAAAUGUAGACGCAGGACCGGGAGAAAAACAUUCAAUGAGACGUGAUUGCACGGACAUAGAACUAGAUAUAAGACAAGAGUUAAAGAAAAAUAAAGGAACUAAAUUUUCUUCUGCACACUAAGCAUGAAUGGAGUUGUAGUAUCUGAGAUCAAAAUUUAAUUUAUUCCAAGAUGCAGAACAAAAAUUUGAUACUCGUAAUGGUUACAUAGGAGCAAAAGUAGAUAAGAAAAAUAGCAAAAAGAUAGUGGUCUACCAGAGAGGGCACAUGUGCCUCAAUUGGCCUAUAGCAUAGCGACUCAUUAUCCUUCCACCGCUGGUGGCGGGCGGUACUCGCUGCUCUGUGAAGCCAGCCUCACACAAUGUCCGCCACUUUAGGUGUUGGGAUGCAAAGGCUUUCGCCAAGGCAUCCGAAACCCACUACACAACUUGGAAUGGGUGGUCCACUGUUUGUAGCACUAGACCCAGGCACAUGCACCACAAUUGACAUCCACACUACCUUAUUGCCCCGCUCGGGUUACAAGCAAUCGCUACUUGCUCAGCGAGUGAGGGGGUUCAAGACUACCUAUUUAAGGUGGUGUUGUACUCUAUGAGCCGGCGGUGUGGUAUUUACCAACUACAAAUAGUGUCAUGCAUGUGACUUGCUAGUUGACAAUGUCUGUUGUCAAGCUAGGUGUGGGCUAUGGAUGAAGCACAUUAGGAUAUAGUAGGCCUAUUUUGUUUUUUGUUGUUUUUGGGCCACUAUGGACUUUAUGUUGAUGUUGUGAAAUUUUUUUCUUGUGUUUCCUCUUCCUACGAUGUGGAAAGUGGGUGCGUCAGAGAAGAAAGAAAGAGUGGCUAGCAUUGAUUUUACGUCAUACCAUUGAGAACACUAAUCAGAAGCAGAAGCAACAAUAUUUCAUACAUAUACAACACUUGUAAUCCAUAUAAACAACAUUCCUUUAAAAUAUAAUAUAAACCACAUGAUUUAUAUCCUGGGUCGGCUAUCUCCACAAAGGGCAAGAAAACGCUCCAAGUUUGUAGUAUAGCACUAAAAGUGUCGAUUCUCACGAUUUCUUCCCGACAUAUACAAACUAGACAGUAAUCACAUAAAAUAAAGAAAUAUGUGUUAACACAAACUUAUAGCAUGUAUUUCAACAUAUAGAUUGUUGAUUAUUAUGGUAGAUUAUAUAAAAUAGGGGUUCCCGAAGAAAUACAUAAAAACAAGAGCAUUAAAAUUUCCUUUUCAGAUCUGGCUAUCUGGUAAAAGGAGUUGGAGUAACUGAGUUUCCAAAUUUGUGACGUAGCUCUAUAGAAGGAAUAUAAAUACGUUGGAAAAAUUCUAUAAGGAAAGGUUUAAUACAAGUAGGGCUAAGAAAAACUCAAUGAGGCUUUGGUCGCAUGGUCACAAAACUUGAGACAAGAAACACGAAGACACCAAGGUAAUUAGUAUGAGAGUUUUCCAAAUUUGGUGUCUUGAUGUAGAAAAAAUAAAUAUAUGACAAAUUUGUUUUUUCGCAAGGCAUGGAUAAAUAGGUGGGGGUGAGCAAUAAAUUUCAUCCUAGAUUUAGAAGGAAUAAAUAUAUCACUAAAUAUGUUUUUUCACAAUGCCAAGUUAAUCAGGUGGGAGCGAGAAACAAUUCUAGCGAGGCUAGGUUGUACUAGCCCAAAACUACAUACAACAGAGGAAAAAUGAAGAAAAUGAUGGUCUACCAAAUAUGGCGCAUGAGCCUUAAGGUGCACCUAGAGGGAAGUAGAAGAAAUAAAUAUAUAAUAGCAUAUAUUUUUCGCAAUGCAUGGUAAAGUGUAGAUGUGCUCUAACUGGGCUUAGAUUGCAGCGACACAUUAUGCAUCUACAAGGCUUGGUUGCACAUGGAAAAAGAUACAGAAAGAAAUGUAGACGCAGGACCGGGAGAAAAACAUUCAAUGAGACGUGAUUGCACAGACAUAGAACUAGAUAUAAGACAAGAGUUAAAGAAAAAUAAAGGAACUAAAUUUUCUUCUGCACACUAAGCAUGAAUGGAGUUGUAGUAUCUGAGAUCAAAAUUUAAUUUAUUCCAAGAUGCAGAACAAAAAUGUGAUACUCGUAAUGGUUACAUAGGAACAAAAGUAGUUAAGAAAAAUAGCAAAAAGAUAGUGGUCUACCAGAGAGGGCACAUGUGCCUCAAUUGGCCUAUAGCAUAGCGACUCAUUAUCCUUCCACCGCUGGUGGCGGGCGGUACUCGCUGCUCUGUGAAGCCAGCCUCACGCAAUGUCCGCCACUUUAGGUGUUGGGAUGCAAAGGCUUUCGCCAAGGCAUCCGAAACCCACUACACAACUUGGAAUGGGUGGUCCACAGUUUGUAGCACUAGACCCAGGCACAUGCACCACAAUUGACAUCCACACUACCUU
rnacentral:lncRNA from 1 species